GAGCGCGGCUGCAGCGGGACGAGCCGCUCCGGGCCGGGCGCUGGCGCCGAGGCCGCUGCUGCCGCUCCUGCUCUCACUGUGCCCGCUGCGGGACCGGGGCUUCGCCGGGGCUCGCUGCUGCUUGAGCCGCUCAUCCCGCAACUGCCGCGUGAGACCUGAUGCUCUCCUUCCUCCCCCCCCCCGCUUUCUCUGGGGCUUGUAUGCUCCAAUGCAAAAACUGGCUUUAAAAGUCCAGUAAAAAAUGUUUCUUCUUUAUUUCCAGAGCACAGGACAUCCUGAGUGGGUAUGGAUACACAAAGACCACCAAGUCGCACCCUUAUGUGAAUGGCUCCUCUGGCGAUUGAACCCACACCUGGGCACUCUCAGCACCCUGCUCCAGCCAAGCCAAUCUCAGCUCCUGGCAAUGUCCUGCCUGGGAUAGGAAUGCCAAGUGCCAGCAAGGUCAUUCCUAUGCAAAUACAGCUCCUUCUUUUAUGCUAAUGCUGCUUUCCACACCAGCCCCUGCAAUGGCCCCAGGGCAGAGCUCCAUGGCCAGCACCUGAUCAUGCAACAACACAGUGACUUUUGCAAGCAAACUCUGAAGCUGACAAGCCCAGAAGCUCCAUCCAUCCACUCUGGAAGGAAAGGAUACUCCCAGGGAUGAGGCACAUUCCCAGCAAACUCUCCCAACACAGCCUGGAGGCAGCGCUGGAGCUCGGCUGUGGGGCUGGGAAGGGCUGCCAGGAGCACGCAGCCCCCAGGUGGGGUGGCAGCGGCAGCAGCAAAUUCCCACAGGCUGAUGGCACAACAGAGAGACAAAGGCCAGCAGUGCCCAUGGGAGGUGCAGGGUUAAUUCUGCUCCCUGCCCUGCCCCAUCCCCGCAGGAAAUCUCCAAGGGGGAGAGAAACUCUCAGGGUGCCCAAAAUGCAGCAUCUGUCACCCUGAUCCCGCUUCAACUCAGCGUGGGGGGCCAAACUCCCCCCACAGGUAAACACUGAGCUGACCUGGUCAGUCUCAAACACAGCCCCAGUUCUCCCCUCCAGCCUGCUCCUGGGGCUGCUGCCACAUUCCUGACAAGGAGCCCCUGUGGACAGGGCUCUCUCUGUGUCUCAGGUGCUGGGCACUGCAGGGACCAGGGCAGCCCCCUCUGGGGACAAUUGGGGAUUCAUCCCACACCACAGGCAGGACCAGGGGCCCUCCAGUACAGGCUGGUGGGGCCAGAGCCCAUUGGGUUUGGCUGCUCAAAUACCAAAGCUUUUGGCAAAGAUGGGACAAGUUAAGUGGGUUUUCCUGUCCUGAGAGAGAGAAGAAAUUGUUGAAAUUAAGCAUGGAAAUUAAGUCCACUGUGGAAGUCAAAGGCUCCUGGCUUUCCCACUCCUGUUCUGAUUGCUCACUAGAGGGUUUUAUCCAUAAAAAAAUAAGAGGUGGCACCAAAUAAAAGAGCUCUUUUUCAACGUUUCUCCCCUACUUACUUUCAUACCUAAAAAGGAUGUCCAUUUUUUCUUAGUGCAUUCUUUGCCUAAUUUUAACAGAACCGUUUUUCCUUCCAGGCCCCACUUGUGGGUUAUUUGCUCCUUUGCCAGUGGACUUUGGACAAAGGAAGAAAAGGAUCUGCUCCACAUGGGUGUCAUCCUAUGGGGAACACCCCCUGUACCAGCCCCAGCCUGGGCCAAGCACGCUGCCUCACUUUCCCCAUUCUGGAUGCUGGCUCCAAUCCAGUCUGAGUUUUCUCCUGGUUUCCAUGUCUAAGGACAGGAACUUGUCCUGGUCAGGAUGUAAGGCCUUAAACUGCACCUUGAUCUGGGGGGCUGUGACUGGGAUUCCAGCAGGGAAUUCAUUGUUUUACAAAUAAAAAUUAUUCCAGGGA